rnacentral:rRNA from 1 species
UACGUAGGUGGCAAGCGUUGUUCGGAUUCAUUGGGCGUAAAGGGUGCGUAGGCGGCGCGGUAAGUCGGGUGUGAAAUCUCGGAGCUUAACUUCGAAACUGCAUUCGAUACUGCCGUGCUUGAGGACUGGAGAGGAGACUGGAAUUUACGGUGUAGCGGUGAAAUGCGUAGAUAUCGUAAGGAAGACCAGUGGCGAAGGCGGGUCUCUGGACAGUUCCUGACGCUGAGGCACGAAGGUCAGGGGAGCAAACGGG